rnacentral:misc_RNA from 1 species
GAUGAAGAACGCAGCAAAACGCGAUAAGUAGUGUGAAUUGCAGAAUUCAGUGAAUCAUCGAAUCUUUGAACGCACAUUGCGCUCCCUGGAAGUCCGGGGAGCAUGCCCGUUUCAGAAUCACCAGAAUCAGUCGCCGACUCUGUCCCUCGAAGGCAGGACGUCGGCGGAGGCUGGGCGUCCUUUUGGGUGUGAGAGGGUCUUACUCUCUCCCACGCAAAUCGCCCUAAAGCGAUUGCCACGUGCUCUCGUCAGUGCCAGGGCUGGGUCGGCAAGGUGCAAAAAGAUGAACCCAUCACUUACACCUUGCUGGGUGAGGCCCUCCCUCUUUGGUCUGGCGUGGACACGUGGCCCUCACACCUACGUGCAGCGAGUUUGGUGCAUGAACCAUGGUCUGAAAUUGGGCAAGAGAACCCGCUGAACUUAAGCAUAUCAAUAAGCGGAGGA